GACGAACGCUGGCGGCGUGCUUAACACAUGCAAGUCGAACGGAAAGGCCCAGCUUGCUGGGUGCUCGAGUGGCGAACGGGUGAGUAACACGUGGGUGAUCUGCCUCUAACUUCGGGAUAAGCUUGGGAAACUGGGUCUAAUACCGGAUAGGACAAUCGUUUAGUGUCGGUUGUGGAAAGUUUUUUCGGUUAGGGAUGAGCCCGCGGCCUAUCAGCUUGUUGGUGGGGUAAUGGCCUACCAAGGCGUCGACGGGUAGCCGGCCUGAGAGGGUGGACGGCCACAUUGGGACUGAGAUACGGCCCAGACUCCUACGGGAGGCAGCAGUGGGGAAUAUUGCACAAUGGGCGCAAGCCUGAUGCAGCGACGCCGCGUGGGGGAUGACGGCCUUCGGGUUGUAAACUCCUUUCGUCAGGGACGAAGCGAAAGUGACGGUACCUGGAUAAGAAGCACCGGCUAACUACGUG
rnacentral:rRNA from 1 species